CCGCCCCCGGAGCCCCCAGCGGCCGCCGCCGUGCCGGGCAGUGCCGGAAGGAGCGCGGGUGGUCGGCGGGAGGCGGAAUGCUGCCUGCGGGCUGCGGCGGGCGGUUGGCGGCGGCGCUGCAGGCGGCACUGCGCGGCGGCGCGGAGCGGCGGAGGGAGUUGGAACGGAGUGCGGAGCGCGGCCGGGAUGUGCUGCGGGGAGAGCACUCCUUCAUCCCGGGAACUGGAGGAGCUGGAGCUGCUGAACGCCGCCCUGGAGAAAGCGCUGAGAGUCAGGGAAAGCGUCUCCGGAGCGCCCGCAGCGGCACGGGGAGCUCCGGGAGCAAAGCCUGCGGGCGGGGCGGCUGACGGCGGGGAUACCGGGGAGCUGGAGCUGCCUGCGGCCACCAGAGACGGCCCUGCGGCUGCCUGCCCCACCUGCGAGGUGAGAGCUGGAAGCCGGCAGCCCACCGCUGCCAAGAAGCCUCCUCCGUACCGGCUGCGAGCCCCAUACAGGACUGACCCAGAUGUGAGAAGAACCCAAAGGAAAGCCCCGGCAGGACGUGUCAGCAGAGCUCCUGGGGCGGCCGGGAAGAGCUCUUCCAAAGCUGUGGCUCCCAAACAAGGAGGCAGGCGUGGGCCGGCGGUCCCUGCGGCAGCCAAACCCCAGAGGACAGCUGGCUUCCCCAGGUCUGCCCCCAGUGAGCAGCACGGCCUCCCUGCUGGGGAUGGGAGCUCGGUGGCUGUGUGUGGGCAGCAGCUCAGUGCGGGGAAGAGGUGCUGUGCCCCCCUCGGGCUGCCCGGCGGAGCAGAGGAGCGCAAUGCUGGUGCACGGAGCGCAUCACCGCGGGCAGCCGCGCUGCAGGAGCAGGGGUGAGUGCUGGCUGUGCUCAGCAUGGCCAAACACAGCUGCAGCACUGCUCUAUACAGCCUGAUUUGGUUCUGCCAACCCUCACCUUCUUUGGAGGUGAGGGGCCUUUGGAGUCCAGAAGCCUUUGUGGCCGUUGAGUAAGCGUCUGCAUGCUGAGAGCUGCUCUCACAUGGCUGGGACUUCAGCCCUUUCAUUAUGACUUCUGCUACUUCUCAGCCCUUCUGUGACUGCUUUGGAAAGUUGUCUCUGUAGAGCUUCCCUCAGAGUCCACUUUCCGUAACAGCUUAUUGAUUUUCUUCAUUUUCAUUUAUUUAAAUGGAGAUAACGAUAAAUAGUUCACAAAUCAUCGCUCCCUCCCUCAAAAGCCUUCACCCAGUGCUGUUUGGAGAGAGCCUAUCUGGGUCUCAUGCCCUUUAACCUCUAAGAUGCUGCCUGCUUAACUGUAGAAUCGGGAUUAGCCUGAGUGUAUGGUGUAGGAAGGCUUACAGGGUGGGUGUCAGUGCCACGUCCUGCAGAAAGGCAGGAAAACAAUACUUAGAACUGUGGCAGACCAGUCCGUCUGUUCAAAUAACUUAUGUGCUCAUUUCUGUGUGUUCUGUGCUGUAGAGAAAUGCUGACGUUAAGAUCUGGUCGUGCAUUUGGGUAACACUGAGAUGUUGCUCUCAGCAGCUGCAGCCCAACUCUCCUGUGUCUGUGCAGGGAGGGGAUUGCAGUGCACGUGCUGGGGUGGGUGCAGGACGCAGAGUGACUGCUGGGGGAACAGGAAUGUGGAUUCGGACGUUUAUUUCCUUUCACCCUGGCUGCAGCGCUGUCUGCAGUUUGCACAAGGCUCAGCUGUAACUGCCAGCUCAGUUGGCAGAGGGCUUUGCACACGAAGGAAUGGGAAAGGAACUUUGCAAUAUAUUCAUCUCGCCCCCACAGCUGAUCAAAGCCUGACUCGUUACUGUCUGUGCAGUGGGAGCUGCAGUGUGCCUUUCCCAGCCUUGCUAGGUGAGGUGACCUGGUGGAGCUCAGGUGCAGCAGUGCAGUGUGAAGAAGGGCUGUGCACAGCUGAGCAGCAGUCAGCUCACAUCAGAGCUGUGGCUUUCCCCCCUUGUGUUGGGGCUUUGGCCCCAGCCCUGGCAGCACGAUGUCAGAGCUCCCCCAGCCCUGCUCAGUGCUGGGUGUACAGAGGAACACCCGACGCUCCCACGCGCUGAUGGCAGCAGUGGAUUUAAUUUCUGGGGCUUCUGAUGUCUUCCGUUACAGCUAAACUAAUUAAGACAAGAAGUAGAUUACUCUAUUGGAGGACAAGGCUCUGCCGACCUCCGCCAGCAGCAUUGCUGAGCUCCUGUUUUGCAGAUGCCAGCUGGAGCUGCCCCUUCCCUACAGGAAAGCCCACACCAGGAACUCCAGGGCAUGGGAGAAGUGCCGUCUCUGCCACACCAGUGCUGAUGCAGCGGCUGCGAGGACGCGUUUCACAGAGAGGAUCCAGAGCUCCUUUUGUUCACCAACGCCGACGCUCAGCCCUGCAGAGAUAGAGAAGGAAUUAAAAGCCCUCCAGGAUGUCCCCUCCCGUCUGAGCCUGUAUGUGGAAGCUGAGUCUGCAGACCAUCCCACUCUUCAAAGAGAGUAUGAAAGCCUUCUGACCUUGGAAGGUCUGCAAAGCACAGUCUCCCAGUGCUUGCAUAAGCUGCAGCUCCUACGGGCAGCUGUGGAGUCCCAAAGGAAGCUGCACCCAGGCUGCACUGGGGACCAAAGAGACUGCUGUGCAGCCUGUGCUGCUGGGGCUCGGGUGUGUGGCAGUGCAGGCACGCUGGCUGUGCCUCUCCUGUGCUACUCCAGGCUGCAGGAGCUGAGGGAUCUGUUUGCCUUGAAGCUGCAAGUGUCGAUGCUGCACCAGCAGAUUGCCUUACAAAAGGUGAGUCUUUAAGGGUUAGUGCUGCUGUGGUAGAGCAAGAAAAAGGCAGCUGUGGAGCAGCAGGGAGCAGUGGCACAGCAAGCUUUCCCAGUGGUAUUUCUUUAUGCAUCACGUCCACGUCCCAUCAGUGCCACACUGACUUUGUGGAAGAAGAGACCACCCCUUUCAACAACUUUAAGUGUCUGACACUCUUCUGAUAGCACUUUCUCACCAAUCUUCUGGAGCGUGGCAGUGCAGGCUGGUGUUGGUAGUGCUUGGAGAUCAGCUUUGGCCACUCUUUACUGUCCCAUCAGGGCCCCCACUUUGUCAUCCUCUCGUGUGACCUCUUCAGCUCGCGAACUUCUGUGCUGCCUGCUGUUUUCCUCUUAGUGUCAACCCCCCGUGCAGCUAAUCUUGGCUUUACCUUCCUUCCACGGCCUGUAAGAACAUGAAGGGAAGUCAGGCUCUCCACCAGCCCGAGCACAGUGCUUGCUGCACGGGGACCGUUUGUUCUUCUCGACAGCAAAGGGCAGAGAUCUGUGAAGCCGUGCCUCCCUGUACCUCUGACCUACCCUUCAACCUACCUCAGUGACAGAGGCUCUGGAAAUGCAAUUGUUUAUAACCCAGGGAAGUUAUUUAUAAGAUGCCGUGCUUCUCUCCCUGUCUGAAGAUGGACUGUUGCUUGUUUCCAAAUGGGAUUUUAGUGCUAUAUCCUUUGAAUUAUGGGUUGUGAGGUCUUUGCUUUUAUCUGCCUGAAGCAUUGCAGUGGCUGAAGCCCCUUGCUUCGCUGAUGGGUCCCAUUUCCUCUGCAUGAGUAUUUAAAUAGGUGCUGUGUGCCAGCUGAGCUCUGAGUAUCUGAAGCAGCUCUCUUCAGAGUAUGCAAGGUGCGUGGAAGUCUUGGGACAGGUGAGGUGAAUGGACUUGGUGCAGGAUAAAUAACCAGGGAAAGGAUCUAUUUGUCUCUGGGCCAAGCCCGUCCAUUGCAGGCGGAGUAACAGCAGGAAUCAUAGCAAGUGCUGUUAACUCUUAGCUUGUCUUUGGUGAAGGUCUGUUUCCCUUUAUUCUUCUGUAUCAGGAACUGAUGGGGAAGGAAUAGAGGAUGGGCUUUCUCUUCAGAGUGCUACUUGCCCCCACUUGUGCCAGUUUUCCCCUCAGGUGGCAUUUUGUCUACGGGUCUUAACUCUUUUCAGAGAUAAGCAACUGUGCUGUCCCUGUUUCCUGCAGAGAUCUAUAGAGAACUGUAGAGAAGACCCCUCUGCAGCUGCCCUGAACUCUGUCCUGAGUCCUCCUUUCUGUCCUCUGCUGGAACAUUCCUGGAGGGAAUGGAGUUUAUCAUCCACUCCUGUCAUGAGCAGCAGUGCACACAGUAGGCCACGUGCAGCUCCAAUGAGCUGACUGCUUGGAGUUUGGUAGCAGAUAGCAGCUGAAAAAUCCUUGGCCAAAUGCCUUUCUGAGUAUUCAUUCUAGUCCGACACACUGAAGGUUAGCUUUUGUCCUGAUAGUGACUUCAUUUGUGCUUCAGUUGUCGGUCACAUCGCAGAGCCGGGUGCUGUUCUGCUGCUGCAGGCCAGCAGGGUGCUGGAGAGUGGGCUGAGCUCACUGAGAGCUCGGCUGUGUGAGCCAGGGGCCAGGCAGUCAAAAAGAAGAGCUGUGCUCAGCAGUGGGUCAGUAAGGCCUGAGUGGUGUUGUUGCAGAGCUGCCAAAUCAACAUCAGCUUCACCCUGUUCAACAUCCAACAUCAGCUUUAAGGACUGUUAACAGCGUUAACGAUUAUUUAUGAGGGUGGAUAGUGAUAGGACAAGGGGGAAUGGUUUUAUACUGAGACAGGGGAGGUUUAAGUUGGCUAUUAGGAGGAAGUUUUUCCCCCAGAGGGUGGUGACGCACUGGAACAGGUUGCCCAAGGAGGCUGUGGAUGCCCCAUCCCUGGAGGCAUUCAAGGCCAGGCUGGAUGUGGCUCUGGGCAGCCUGGUGUGGUGGUUGGCGACCCUGCACAUAGCAGGGGGUUGGAACUGGAUGAGCAUUGUGGUCCUUUGCAACCCAGGCCAUUCUAUGACUCACCUUUGUGUGCCCUCAGCUUCUCACAGGGUGCAGCUCAGUGCAGCGCCAGCCCUUCCCUUCAGCACGGUGCAGCACAGGAGCACUGCCCAUCAUCUCACUGCUCAAAGCACUGCAUGGCUGCUGGUGUGCUUCACAAGCCAGUAAUGAGCAGCCCUGCCAUCCUGAAAGCUGACAAAGGAAGGCUUUCACCUGUCACUCACGAUGACAGAACUGCUGCCUGUCCUGGACUCCAGGCCCUGCCCAGGGACCUCUGUGGCUCAGCUCUACAGGGCGAUGUACACACAGCUCUGCGCGGGAGGCGGGCGCUUCCCUGUGCUGGUGCGAGAUGAGCUGGCAGACUGAGCUGGUGAGAGCCUCCCUAUGGCCAUUCACAUAAACAGCCACAGUUUUAAGCAAUAAAUCCUUUCUGAUAACUUUUAGUGCUUUGCCUGUUUGUCCAUCUAAAGGAAACUGAAUUUCUGGGCCUUGGCUUGUUCCUCGUUGGUCGCUUUUACAGCUUGCUGAUCAUGAAGGUCUGUGAAGCCUCUUCAUGGACACUGGUGGUAGGUGUUCCUCCAAGGUCUGUCUGCUCUGGAUUCUUGUCCACGUCAGCCAUGACAUUGGCCUUGUAUUCAGAUAACACAGCUGUCCCUAACACUGCUUUACACUGCUCACAGUGUGUUGGGGCACAGCUUUCCAGGAUAAGAAAAUCCAGGGAAAAUGAGCUGCUACUGCCAUAUAACUUUGUUCUUAAGUUGGCAUUACAGUAAUACUGACUGGCAGUGUUUCUGAUGUCUUCAUCCACAGCUGCCCAGGCUGCAUGCAGUAGUGCCUCUCUGGGGUCUGCUCUGGUUGGCAGACAUUGCUCUGAGCUGUGCUGCUGCCCGGACCACUGCAGCUGGAGCAGCCCCUUCAGCCCUUCAGCAAGGUGGGUCACCUUGCUGCUCAGAUCACGGCUCCAUCAGGCAGCUUUGUGACUUGCCACGCUCUUUUGCAAUGACUUACACCUCUAGCCUACAGCUGACAUACUUCUGCUGGAUCAUCUUAUCAGGGGAUGGUGCCUGAGCCAGAGAAGGGUGGGCUGUGUGUGCUCGGAGGGAUGCAGCUGCAGCAGGAGGGAGUGAGGGAGCAGCCCGGUAGAUGGCACUCAGCCCUUUGCAUGGCUGCUGUAGAAGCAGUCUUCCAGAGUGACUAACACAGUGCCCUGCCCAGCUAUGGAAAAUACAAGUUCUGUAGCAAUCCUGACCUUGCCACCACAGGAACUCCUGCUUUGGUUCUUCCUGCGCCUUCAGUCUUCACUUAAACCCCUGGCACUGCUGUGUGGCAAUUGCUUCAGAGGCACGUGGCAUACUUCUGGCUUGCAAGCAUUUUGAAGUCCGUUUAGCAAAGGGCCACUAAAUACUGAUGCAGCAUUUCUACUUCUUGCUACAGCUGGGCUUGCAUCAUACCUUGCAGCUGGACCAAAGUCCUGUUUGGAGGAGUUUAGCUCUGGGAGAUGCUGACGUUGGUCAUUAUUAUUUCCUUCUGUGUUGUUUUGUUUUUUUUUCAGGGCUGGAGUUAAGGUGGUCUGACAUCCAAAUGUUGGACCCUUUCUGACCCUCAGAAUCAGCCCAAACCCAUCCCAAUGCUGGGUGAACAUCAGCUUUUUACCCUCACUUUAAUUUCUUCGUUGCACUGCAUUCGGUUCUUUAUGUUUUGGUUCAUGUGGGGUGUUCAGCUGGGGCAGCUCUGCCAUGCAUAACGGCAGCCGCUCAGCAACAUCAGUUCUUGGAGUCUGGAUGUAUUUUAUCUACACACCUGGCAGGUUUUCUGCAUACAGAUGUCAGCCAGAGGCGGGGGGGGGGGACUGUUGUGUUAGAAAUGCACUGCUGUUACAGAAGGAAAUGAUGCCGGUGCUUCAGACUGAGGUGAGGAGACAAGAGAUUGUAUUUGUGAUGCCAGAGGAUGGUGUUAGAAAAGAGACAGGAAAUACUCAGUGCCUCCUGAAGGUGAUGGAUGGCACCACCCUAACUGGCUGUUGGCUGCGAGUCAGUGCAGCCAGUGCUGUGUUUCACUGGGAACUUACCAGUCCUCCUGUGCCUCAGCGGAACCCCACAAAGCAGAACCCCUAAGCACGACUCCAUCUGACUCCAAAGCAAUCCACCCUGCAGGCAUUGGAGUUUCUAUUCUGCACCGUGCCGAUGAAAUUCUACUUCUGUGACAUGAAAAGUGCCAGGGAAGAUCUGUCCUCUCGCUUUUCAUUUGCUGAAGACUUUCUUUUUGCACACUGUAAUUGAGAAAAAUCGAUUGCUGCUUAAUUAAGCUGAGUCUGGUGGGUGUUGUGUCUAUGCGAGGUGAUGGGGAUCUGCAGCUCUCAGUGCCUUCAUGGGACAGGGAGCACCCGGAGCACCCAGCACAGGGACAGCACACACAUUGAGGUCACAUCCCAUUGAGGGAUGGUAACUGCGUGAUCACAAACCUGAAGAUACUUCUCAGGCUGCCCAAAGCUGUGCUGCGAACAGCCAGAGCUGUUUCCCACUCCGUACUGUGGUGCCUUCUGCCAUCCCAAGGCACGUGCAGACAGCACAACUGCUGAUGCUGCAGCUGUGAUGGGGCCCUCUGUGGCAAUGGGCAUUGCAUCAGACCUGCGCCCACCCGCACACUGUCACUGCAGCUGCUCGGUGCAGUUGUUUGUCACAGGGGAUUCUUGUGCCCACAGGAGUUAUUCACUCUUUCUUGCCAUAGCCUUAAGUGAUGCGUUGACCAUUCCCUGGCAGCCAAAUGCAAUGCUGAUUUCCUACAGGAAACCAAAACCUUGCAGGGAUGCCGUGGUUCUCACACACUCCUGUGUUUGUGCAGCCCCCAUGUGUGCUUUGCUGUGCUGUUGCAUGACUUUGGUCCAUCUCCGUGCCCCCGCUGUGGGGCUGUGGGCAGCACCAUUCCUGCAAAUCACACCCCAAGGCACUGCGCUGCACAUCCCGAAAAUGAGCUGUGGGUUGAGCACAGUGUAACAGGCUAUCCGUGGUUAUCUCUGCCCUAAGGUGGUGCUCUGUGCUUGCUUUCAGACCCACUGCCUUUCCGUUUGGGGAAAAAUAAGGCAUAAUUCCUACACCUACAAACCCUUUCUUCUACAUGGCUGUUUUAGCUCCCAGACGUAGGCGUUGGGGUCACCGCCAGUGUGUGCGAAGGCAGUGGGCUGUGCUGAGCGGAGCUGUGUGGGUGCCUGCAUCCUGGCCCUGUGUUCUUUUGGUAUUUCCUUGUGAACUCCAACUUAUUUUGGCCCUCUGGGAUCUGCUGUGAGAAGCAGAAGUUCAUCUCCCCCAUGUGCUGAUCCAGUGUGGCUCAGCACUCCGCUUGGCUCCAGGCUUCCUUUAAUGGGGCUCAGCACUCUCGCUUGGAGCCCGGGUUCCUCAUCCCUUCCCUCUCCUUCUUCCAUCCUAGGAAUGGGCGCACGCCGGUCGCCUUCCAUUGGGCUCCUGCAGCGUGAGUCACCGGUCCCAGCUGCGCUUUUCUCUCCUUCUGUAGGAAGCAGGAGGGGGCACGCACAAGUCUCUAUUUCUGUAACAAAAAUUAC
rnacentral:lncRNA from 1 species